AGACAGCCUUACAUUUUCAUGAACAUUAUUGAAUCUGAACCAACACUGACGAACUUAAACACAUGUACAACAACAUUUGAAUGCCAAUAUAUAUUCUAUACUGAAAAUAUAAUUGUUAGUGUGAUAACGAGCCUUUACACAAAUUGUUCAUCAUUUAACAUCAAAAAUUCAAGGAUCACGGCUCAUGCUAAAUUCUGAUUCAGUAUAUUUGAACAAGACCAGACGACUUAAAGCUUUCUAAAUAAAGCCAAAUAUAAAGGGGUAAUUUAAAUCUGAGAAUUUCAGAGUCCAAAAUUAAGUUCAAGUUCCAUUUAAAAUCCUUUUAAACUUCAAGGUACUCAUACAUGAGAAAAGGCAAAACUAAGGGACAAACUGAAAUCAUUAGACUAUGCUUCAGGCUGUACACAAGCAAAUCUAAAGAACAAUUAAUGGAAAACAAACCUAAAUAAAAAUUACUAGACCAACAACAUGAAUGGUCCGAACUAAUAAGCAUUUAACCCAUAAUAACAGUCGACUAAAUAAUCACAGUCCUCAAUUAAUAUAUGUUAUGCUAAUCCUAAAAAGAACUCUUGGAUCAACUACAUUCAAACAAAAUCUCAGAUCCAAACCUUGAUGCAAACAUGUAGUACUGAUGACAUAAUGAACACACAUAAGAAGCUAGAAUAAAAGAAACAUAGAAUAAAAUACAACAAAUUCAAAUAGCUGAUCAGGCAAUAGAGAAUUAGCAUUUGUCAAUUUCUUCAACUCGAGUUAUAUGUUUUCAUACUUGCACCUCACAUACUAACAAAAGCCAGAGCAUAUCUGGGUACAGCAACACACAAUGAGAAAACGAGCUGAAGUUUAAGAAGAAACGGUAGCAGCAAAUCUGAUUCACUAAAUCAGCAACAAAACAUACUUGAAAACCAGUUUUUGACUCGAAAUAUGACCCCUGAAAUCCUUUGUAACUUUCAGAUAAUAGAAUCAACAAGAAAACUAGACCAAUUUUUAGCAGGGAUGGCCAUGCAUUUCAAUGUUUUGAAGACUCGGUCAUUUACAAUUUAUUCAGGAUUUUUAGUCUCUAAUUUUCUGCCUUGAGAAUGAAGGAACAAUAACUUUAUAGGCAAGCCUUAGGGCAAUAGAAAUGGGUCAGUUUAGUGCCUUUUGAUCCUUUUGAAAUUUUUAUUUUUGCUACUUGGUCCUUAGUUUAAAAUUAAUUUUUGAAAAUCAGACCUAAUCUGCACCUUCUAGAAAGCUUCCCCAGUCAGUUAUUAAAGAUUUCUUAUCCUACAAUUUCUUAAUUAACCUUUAAACCCCUGUUUUUUACUUCAGGAACCUAAAUGGUUCAUAUUGACACAAGUUUCAUCCCAAAAACCUGGGCUUCCCAACCCAGUUUAAUUCCCCCCUUUGGGCUUCUGAUUUUCAUAACUCAGUUCAAGCCACAAUCAAAGGUCACAAAUUAACGGGCUAUCCAGAGUUUCCCAAAAGAAAAACUAUAAAACCUUUAAAAUGAAAUUAAAGAAAAGGGAAAUGAACUAAUUAGACCUAAAUAAUAAAAAACCAAAGAAAACUAAACUUAACUUUUUAUUAAUCUAAUUAUGCAACAGAACAAUGAUUAAAAGCAAAAACAAAACAAAGAAGAAGAAAAGAGAAGACGAAAAAGAGAUGAAGAUGAACUUAAACGAAAGAAAAAGAAGAAAAAUGCAAGAAAAUUAAAGAAGCUGAAAAUACCUAAGAACCAAGCAGACAAAAUCUUCAAACUACUGCUCAGCCUUUGAUUUUGACCGAACGGGCCUUAAUCAUGUGUUCUCAGAAGAAAACAUGCGAAUAAGGUCAAUUUCAGCCUCAAACCUUCGCUAAACUUGCUGAUUUGGGGUUUUGGGAUUUUAGGAUUCAGAACUUCGAUUUAAGAUUCGAAGGAGACUAGGGUGAUUCAAGGGAAACGAGUUAUGGAUUGGGAAAAAGGAGACCAUGGGGGUUUUGGGAUGUUAGUUUGGGACGGAUUGGGAGCGACGCCGCCACCGAAGAAUGCUAGGGCAGCGCUAGGGUUAUGGGCUAUCUCUGAAGAGGGAGGUGAAGUGAGAGAGAUGAAUUAGAAGGGGGUAGG
rnacentral:lncRNA from 1 species